AUGAACGCUGGCGGCGUGCCUCAUACAUGCAAGUCGAGCGAACAGACGAGGAGCUUGCUCCUCUGACGUUAGCGGCGGACGGGUGAGUAACACGUGGAUAACCUACCUAUAAGACUGGGAUAACUUCGAGAAACCGGAGCUAAUACCGGAUAAUAUAUUGAACCGCAUGGUUCAAUAGUGAAAGACGGUUUUGCUGUCACUUAUAGAUGGAUCCGCGCCGCAUUAGCUAGUUGGUAAGGUAACGGCUUACCAAGGCGACGAUGCGUAGCCGACCUGAGAGGGUGAUCGGCCACACUGGAACUGAGACACGGUCCAGACUCCUACGGGAGGCAGCAGUAGGGAAUCUUCCGCAAUGGGCGAAAGCCUGACGGAGCAACGCCGCGUGAGUGAUGAAGGUCUUCGGAUCGUAAAACUCUGUUAUUAGGGAAGAACAAAUGUGUAAGUAACUAUGCACGUCUUGACGGUACCUAAUCAGAAAGCCACGGCUAACUACGUG
rnacentral:rRNA from 1 species